UCCCUGGUGGUCUAGUGGUUAUGAUUCGGUGCUCUCAUUGCUGUGGCCCAGGUUCAAUUCCCGGUCAGGGAA